UACGAAGGGUGCAAACGUUGCUCGGAAUUAUUGGGCGUAAAGCGCACGUAGGCGGCUUUGCAAGUCCCAUGUGAAAUCCCACGGCUCAACCGUGGAAGUGCAUGGGAAACUGCAGAGCUUGAGUACUUAAGAGGAUCGCGGAAUUCCCGGUGUAGAGGUGAAAUUCGUAGAUAUCGGGAGGAACACCGGUGGCGAAGGCGGCGAUCUGGGUCGAUACUGACGCUGAGGUGCGAAAGCGUGGGGAGCAAACAGG
rnacentral:rRNA from 1 species